UAGGUGUGUAUGAAGAUCAUCCUCAUUUCAGUGCUUGUUUUCACACUCUGGAGUUUUUCUAGAAUCAGGAUCUAAAUGAACUCAUUGUAGUGAAAAUGAGCUCAGUGGACAUCAGUAUUAAUAUGACUGUAAUAUCGUCUCUCUCUCAGUGAUUGUGAUUGUUGUCGCUUCAUUCGCUGUUCUCCUUCCUGCUCUUAUUCUCUGGAUGAUUCGCAGAAAAAGAGACGAUAACAGAAGAGGAACUGAUGACUCUGAGGAGCUGAUAUAUGAUGAGACUUACACUGAGGUCACUUAUACUGAGGACUACAGUAAAAACAAGACAAAAAGAACAAGGGGAGAAACACUUCCUUGAUGUUGUCCAGCUUCUCUCAACAUGAUAGUUUGUGUUUUCCUCUGAAUUUGUGUCAUGAAUUGAGCUCAAACAUCAUGCUGUAAUAAUUGUGUGUUGAAACAAUAACUGUGAUGUUCAUUCAGGUUCGCUGUGAUGAUAAAGUGACUUCUGCUUCCAUCAGAGGAGCAAAAGCUGGAUCUCAGGAAAACUGCAGUGAACUUUAUGCCUCUGUGAACAAGAACCAUCACAAAUCAGUCAAAUAAUGACACAAAAACCACAUGAGCAGAAGAAUAUGAAUCUAAUAUAAUUGAGUCCUAAUGGUGUCAUUCAGUGCCAUUAUAAAUACUUUCAAUGUCUUUUACAUGUUCACAAACAAACCCAAGUGAUGCUCUGAUUUAUUUGUAGUUAUUGCUUAUUUUUCUCAGUUCAGCAUGUUUUUUGUAUAGUUUCUGUCUGCUUGUUGAUCAGUUAAUGCUAGUGUCUUUAUUAUUCAUUCAGAGCUGCAGGUUUGGACAAAGUCUAGAAAAUGGGGACACUUUUACUCUCUUACAUCAUUCUCAUUAAAUCAUCUAUUUUCUCCAGCAGUUAAUUAACUGUCAGCUUGCACUAAUUAUGAGAACAGCCAAAAGCUAUUUGAUGAUGUAAGUGUUUAUCACAAUAUGAUAUUUUUGUCAAUAACCAUUUGAUCAUC